GCACAAGCAGCGGAGCGUGUGGUUUAAUUCGAUGCUACACGAAGAACCUUACCAGGGUUUGACAUGCAAGUGGUAGGAAACCGCAAGGUGACCGACCCUUCGGGGAGCUUGCACAGGUGCUGCAUGGCUGUCGUCAGCUCGUGUCGUGAGAUGUUCGGUUAAGUCCGCUAACGAGCGCAACCCUCGCUGUGUGUUAUAUGUGUCACACGGGACUGCCGGUCUUAAGCCGGAGGAAGGUGGGGAUGAUGUCAAGUCAGCAUGGCCUUUAUAUCCUGGGCUACACACACGCUACAAUGGCCAGCACAGUAGGUUGCUAAGCCGCGAGGUGGAGCCAAUCCAUAAAGCUGGUCUCAGUUCAGAUUGCAGGCUGCAACCCGCCUGCAUGAAGAUGGAGUUGCUAGUAACCGCAGGUCAGCUAUACCGCGGUGAAUACGUUCCCGGGCCUU
rnacentral:rRNA from 1 species